CAAUAGCGUAUAUUUAAGUUGUUGCAGUUAAAAAGCUCGUAGUUGGAUUUCGGAUGGGACUUGCCGGUCCGUCGUUUCGAUGUGCACUGGCCAGUCCUAUCUUGUUGUCGGGGACUAGCUCCUGGGCUUCACUGUCCGGGACUAGGAGCUGACGAGGUUACUUUGAGUAAAUUAGAGUGUUCAAAGCAAGCCUACGCUCUGAAUACAUUAGCAUGGAAUAACACGAUAGGACUCUGGCUUAUCUUGUUGGUCUGUGAGACCAGAGUAAUGAUUAAGAGGGACAGUCGGGGGCAUUCGUAUUUCAUUGUCAGAGGUGAAAUUCUUGGAUUUAUGAAAGACGAACUUCUGCGAAAGCAUUUGUCAAGGAUGUUUUCGUUAA
rnacentral:rRNA from 1 species